ensembl:lincRNA Gm44868 predicted gene 44868
GGUGUUCCAUCUUUGCAGGACAUCCUUUGUGUGGCCCAGCCGUGAGACACUGCCUCACUGGGGAAGGUGUUUCUGCAUUAGAGAAAACAGACCAUCGAUGGCCAGCAAAUGAUGUUUCCUGUGGACACACUAGACUACUGUUUGAACGCUGUACUGUAGAAGGCACAGACUGAGAUGCUGCGUCAACUGCGCAUGCCUGUCUUUGUGACCGGCUGCUAUCGAUCCUUCCGAGCCCGUGUGCCACGCUGGAAAGCUGCAUCUAAGAGUUAAGAUUUACUGACUUAAAA